AGCGAACGCUGGCGGCAUGCCUUACACAUGCAAGUCGAACGGUAACAGGUCUUCGGAUGCCGACGAGUGGCGAACGGGUGAGUAAUACAUCGGAACGUGCCCGAUCGUGGGGGAUAACGGAGCGAAAGCUUUGCUAAUACCGCAUACGAUCUACGGAUGAAAGCAGGGGACCGCAAGGCCUUGCGCGGACGGAGCGGCCGAUGGCAGGUUAGGUAGUUGGUGGGAUAAAAGCUUACCAAGCCGACGAUCUGUAGCUGGUCUGAGAGGACGACCAGCCACACUGGGACUGAGCCACGGCCCAGACUCCGACGGGAGGCAGCAGUGGGGAAUUUUGGAUAAUGGGAGCAAGCCUGAUCCAGCCACGCGGCGUGCAGGAUGAAGGCCUUCGGGUUGUAAACUGCUAUUGUACGGAACGAAACGGCUCUUUCUAAUAAAGAGGGCUAAUGACGGUACCGUGAGAAUAAGUACCGGCUAACUACGUGCCAGCAGCCGCCGCAGUAA
rnacentral:rRNA from 1 species